rnacentral:RNase_P_RNA from 1 species
UAAGCAGGCCGUUCUAUCGCAGCAUUGCUGAGGAAAGUCCGGGCAACGCAGGGUACCAUGCUUCCUAACGGGAAGCUGUCGUGAGGCAGAUGAGCGUAACAGAAAAUAACCGCCGUGCUUUCGGGCAGGGUAAGGGUGAAAAGGUAGGGUAAGAGCCUACCGGUUCCGGUGGUGACAUCGGAAGCCGUACGCAUCAUGGGUUGUAAGGCCAUGUAUACCGUCGUUUGAGGGCGACCCGCCCGAUGACGGGGGGUAGGCCGCAUGAUUCCGCUGGUGACGGCGGAACGAGAUAAAUGAUAGAACCCGGGAAACCGGUGACAGAACCCGGCUUACAGGCCUGCUUUUUUA